rnacentral:misc_RNA from 1 species
AAGUCGUAACAAGGUCUCCGUAGGUGAACCUGCGGAGGGAUCAUUAACACGUUUAACAACGUACCCACCAAAACUAUGGAAACAGCCGCAAGGCAGUUCUCUCCCUCUAACAAUUGCUUGCAGUUGCUAGAGGCUCUAUCCUUCUUCUAACCCCUUUCCAACUUCAAUGCAAGCGUGCGCCCGCUCUAUACUCUGUAUACAGUGUGCAUGUUGGCAUUGUCCUGUCUGACCUGUAUUCUAUGUAGCGUGUGUCAUUCUGUGUGGACUCGUCCUCUUCAGUCUGUCCUCGCUCUAUAGUUGAUAUUUAAUGCAAAGCACAACUCUUAGCAACGGAUAUCUUGGUUCUC